AAAGUCGUAACAAGGUAACCGUAGGUGAACCUGCGGUUGGAUCAUUAACAAUCCUAGACCCUCGGGUCUUCAACCCCUUGUGCAUCUAUUAAUGUAUCUGGGUGUCGAGUAGUACUUGUAUUACUAGGCGCCCAAACGUAUAAACCUUACUAUUAGUCUGAUUUUUAUUUAUAUAAAAAAAACAACUUUUGACAACGGAUCUCUUGGCUCUC
rnacentral:misc_RNA from 1 species